GUGCCAGCCGCCGCGGUAAUACCGGCAGCUCGAGUGAUGACCGAUUUUAUUGGGCCUAAAGCGUCCGUAGCUGGCCAUGCAAGUCCAUCGGGAAAUCCACCCGCUUAACGGGUGGGCGUCCGGUGGAAACUGCACGGCUUGAGACAGGAAGGCUCGAGGGGUACGUUCGGGGUAGGAGUGAAAUCCCGUAAUCCUGAACGGACCACCGAUGGCGAAAGCACCUCGAGAGGACUGAUCUGACAGUGAGGGACGAAAGCUGGGGUCUCGAACCGGAUUAGAAACCCCUGUAGUCC
rnacentral:rRNA from 1 species